AACGAACGCUGGCGGCAGGCCUAACACAUGCAAGUCGAGCGAGACCUUCGGGUCUAGCGGCGGACGGGUGAGUAACGCGUGGGAAUAUGCCCUUUGGUACGGAAUAGCCUCGGGAAACUGAGAGUAAUACCGUAUGUGCCCUUCGGGGGAAAGAUUUAUCGCCAAAGGAUUAGCCCGCGUUGGAUUAGGUAGUUGGUGGGGUAAUGGCCUACCAAGCCUACGAUCCAUAGCUGGUUUGAGAGGAUGAUCAGCCACACUGGGACUGAGACACGGCCCAGACUCCUACGGGAGGCAGCAGUGGGGAAUCUUAGACAAUGGGGGCAACCCUGAUCUAGCCAUGCCGCGUGAGUGAUGAAGGCCUUAGGGUUGUAAAGCUCUUUCAGCUGGGAAGAUAAUGACGGUACCAGCAGAAGAAGCCCCGGCUAACUCCGUGCCAGCCGCCGCAGUAA
rnacentral:rRNA from 1 species